rnacentral:piRNA from 1 species
UGACCAAGAGGGGCCACACCUCCU